rnacentral:rRNA from 1 species
UACGAAGGUGCAAGCGUUAAUCGGAAUUACUGGGCGUAAAGCGCGCGUAGGUGGUUCAGCAAGUUGGAUGUGAAAGCCCUGGGCGUCAACCUGGGAACGUAGCAUCCAAAACCUAACUGAGCUAGAGUACGGUAGAGGGUAGUGGAAUUUCCUGUGUAGCGGUGAAAUGCGUAGAUAUAGGAAGGAACACCAGUGGCGAAGGCGACUACCUGGACUGAUACUGACACUGAGGUGCGAAAGCGUGGGGGAGCAAACCAGGAUUAG